UACAGAGGUCUCAAGCGUUGUUCGGAUUCAUUGGGCGUAAAGGGUGCGUAGGCGGCGCGGUAAGUCGGGUGUGAAAUCCUGGAGCUCAACUCCAGAACUGCCUUUGAUACUGGGGAUCUUGAGUCCGGGAGAGGUGAGUGGAACUGCGAGUGUAGAGGUGAAAUUCGUAGAUAUUCGCAAGAACACCAGUGGCGAAGGCGGCUCACUGGCCCGGUACUGACGCUGAGGUGCGAAAGCGUGGGGAGCAAACAGG
rnacentral:rRNA from 1 species